rnacentral:rRNA from 1 species
AAACUCAAAUGAAUUGACGGGACCCGCACAAGCGGUGGAUGAUGUGGUUUAAUUCGAUGCAACGCGAAAAACCUUACCCACCUUUGACAUGGCAGGAAUCCCGAAGAGAUUUGGGAGUGCUCGAAAGAGAACCUGCACACAGGUGCUGCAUGGCUGUCGUCAGCUCGUGUCGUGAGAUGUUGGGUUAAGUCCCGCAACGAGCGCAACCCUUGCCAUUAGUUGCUACGAAAGGGCACUCUAACGGGACUGCCGGUGACAAACCGGAGGAAGGUGGGGAUGACGUCAAGUCCUCAUGGCCCUUAUAGGUGGGGCUACACACGUCAUACAAUGGCCGGUACAGAGGGUAGCCAACCCGCGAGGGGGAGCCAAUCCCACAAAGCCGGUCGUAGUCCGGAUCGCAGUCUGCAACUCGACUGCGUGAAGUCGGAAUCGCUAGUAAUCGCGGAUCAGCAUGUCCGCGGUCGAAUACGUUCCGGGCCUU